GAGGGCUCUGCCCGGCUAAGGCGCGGCUGCUUCUCCCCUCUCUGAAGGGCGGGGAGCCGGUUCUACCCUGGGCGCUGCUGAGGAUAAAAGAGCUCGGCUGCCGCUGUGGGGGCACUGAGGGGAAACAGCGGGAGCGGGGAGAUUGAGUGCUCUCCCAGCAAAACAGUCCUCAGAGGAAAUAACCAAAGAGCUCAAAGCUGCAUUGCUGCCCUUCACCAGACUGCACAGCAGCAUCCGCCUGCCCAGGAGCACCUGAGGAUGCCCAGGCAUCAGAAGCAUCUCAUCUUCAUUCCCAGCAGUGGAUCAGGCAGCUGUAACCAGCUCCAUUUCACUACCAGAACAUCCUCCAGCUGGACAGCAAACCCCUAGCCUUAGGAAAACCGUGACUGUGCCAGAAUUUCUGUCUAGCUCACUGUGAUUAAUAGACCUCAGACUGUAAAGAGGGAGUAUGGAUAUCAUAAAUAACAUGCUUCAUAAGGAAGGUUAAUUUUCAGACCAUUCAGAAGCAAUCUACAGUCCCCUAAAAGCCAUAGGCAGGCUGAAAAUGAAGAUAAUUCUCCCAACACUGCCAGCAAAAUAACUUAUGGAGCAGUGUUUUCCCUAAGGAGCUCACAUGUAAGUGCCUAACCUAAGACUCUUAAAGUAAUCAUCUUAUCAGCCCUUACUAUGUCAUCCUGUGCCCUUAAAGAAAGACAAAAAUAGACUGUUGAAGGAUUUAUGAUGAAAACACUCUUAUUCUCAUAAACUUGUGUCUGAGCCUGGGUGAAUGGUUUCCUGCAUGCUGGGAAAAGGAAUGAAUUAAAAAUAAAUUAGAAGAAUAUGAAGAGAUCAAAUAAUAGAUUUUUAAUAUUUGUUAUCUAGAUAAUGAGCAUAGCAGAGAAACUGACUGGAAAGUAAUUUGCUAAGUGAUACAAGCAGAAAGACAUUCAGGAGGAUGGAAUGGAAAUAUCUUGGGGAACAUCUGGCAAAUUAAACAAUUUCAAUUAGGCUUAGGAGAAAACAAGGAAAUCCAUGCCAGAUUGAGGAGAGAAGCAUUUAAAAUCACUUGGAAUCCUGAUGGCUGCUCAAAUAACCCGUCAGUCAGAGCGCUGUGAUUCUCAGAGCAGUAGGUAGCUCACAGAAGUUUCAGUUAUUAAUUUCCCUUUUUGUUUUUCCCCAAGGAUCCAUUCCACUUAAAUAUACAAACCCAAGAUUUUACAGGUACAGUUAAAGAGGCUACCAUGAAAGAUUAAGUUUAUUAUCACUGAUGUGUUUGGUUAAGGUCUCAAGAGCAAAAUAAAAAUGUUCCUGAAUGGAAGCAGCUUUCCCCCACUUUUUUUUUUUUAAUAAUUAAAAAAAAUAAAUUUAUAAACCCCAUAGUAAAUAUUGCUCAGCUGCUGCAACAACCCAAACAUAGCAGAGUACCUGACCUUUUGUUAUUUUUAAAAUGCACUGGCUUCUUCCUCACUAAUAAUUACUGUUUUGGCAUUUACCAACAAAACAUGCAUAGAAAAGCAAGGUGAGCUUGAUUAAAAUAGUCACUGACUAAAGGAACUUUCAGGCUGGACAUCCUAAAAUAAACUUAUUGAAAAAAAAAAAAAAGAAUACUUGGCCAAACAUAAUUUAUCAUGAAGAAAGUCUCUAAUAUUCCAUAUUCCAGGGCAAAAAGCUUUGAUCCUUGCUGGAGACAUGGUGUUGAGGAGCAAUUGUUACCAUGCCUGUCAUGGUAAUUUCUGUGUAGCCACAGUCUGAACACAAACCCUGGAACAACUCAUUGCACCUACACAGACCUUACAAAGUGCUCAGCUAAGUAUCUCCCUGUAACCACAUGUAGGAACUAACAACAAGUAUAUCCUGUUACCAGCAUAAACCUGUUUUAUAAUACGCCUUCCUUCUAAUUCAUCAGCAGAAGAAAUGUGAUUUUUCUAGGAGUUUUUCAAGCUUUCUAGCAGUAAUUAUCUUUCCCAUGGAGUGCCAGUGUGAAAGCAGUAGAUCCUUGUGGAGAUAACCACCCACUGAGAGCACCAUGUGCCACAGCAGCCAGCAUUGCACAGACAUGUGUGAUUUCAUCUCUCCACUUAAAGUAUAACUCUUCAGGUUUAGGUCUUCACACCAUUUUACCUUUAUUUUUACUCCAUUGAAAAUUAUGUAGCCAAAACCAUAAUGAACGAACAUGUAUGAGCUAAGUGAAGUUAUGCUAAUAUCCAGGAAUAAAGUCAUAGUAAGGCUCUGAAUGCAAAACGACAUGAUCUGUUUUUAAUACAUAUAUGACAUUAUCAACUAGUAUAAUACAUAAUUUAUGCCAGAAUUCAUCUGACUCUAAGAGCAGUCUAGCUGACCAUACAAAAAAUAUGGUUCAAUAAUCUGGAUACUGUUCCAUUUGUAGAAUUAUAUACUUUAAAGAACAUGGAACAGUACUCUUCUGUGCUUGCUGUGUUUUGAGAGUGAUAUCAAACAUAUUUACAGACUGGAACUCUCCUAUCCUACUGCUCCAUGUCCUAUCAGUGUACAUGUUAAUUUAUGGAGUUGUAUAGGUAAGUGUUCUGAUUUUCAUUUUAUCUUCAAGAUAAAAAUGGCAUUUCUCCAUCACAGAUAAAACAAAUUUCUUUUUUGUGUUUAAAAAAUGUUUAAAAUAUUCUUCCUUUGAAGUAUCCUCUAGAAGUUUCUGCUAAUCUUUCAGUAAUUUGGUUUGGUGCUAAAUGACUAAUUCAUUUUGUUUCUUAUUUCAAACAGAAGUAACAACAGAAGAAACUGUUUCCAGGAGAAUGAUCCUGGUUUAUAUUUAGCCUGGAUUGACCUAUUUCAGUGUGCAGUCACAUGCACACCCUUCUACCUGGCCUCAUCCUCCCUGUGAGCUGCUGAGGGCUCCUGUGCUCAGGAGUGCAUGGAAGAACCUCUGAUGAGAGACAGCAGGCAAAGAUUUUAUGUCUGAUUCAAUAGCAAACAAAAAAAAAUCAAGCAGGAAAGGCAUAUGACACUAAAAUACACAAAUUAAGGCACUGUAUUCCUGCCAACAAAGCUGAGAGAAUACCCUUGGUAAUUCCCCUGGGGUAGGAGAGAUAUGGGUAACUUCAGAAUUCACAAAGCAAAUCAGCUGGAAUUCACCUGGAAAUCACAUUAGUCACAGCACCCAGCUCACAUUGCCCAAGGGAUUGACUUUCUAGCCUUCCUAGUACCAGCACCUCAAAAUAGGUUUUUGCUUUGGAGUUGUUCUGUGAUAAAUGAGCUUCUCAGGCAUAUUUAAGUCAAAACUACCCUCCCCCUUGGUUUGGUUGGUGUUUUUUAGGGUUUUAUGACUGUUCAUUGACAUCCAGGGCUGCCCUUCCCAAGAGCCACAGGCAGAAAAUGCAGCAUCUCCAACUGUACAGCCCCCAUAGAUUAAAAGUUAACAAUUAUCUGAAAAUGUUUGGAGAAAACAUGUAAGCCAGAGAUCCAAUUCAAAACGAUUCUACAAUUCAGCUAAUUCUGUCUCAAAGCAAACAUUAAAAUAGUAAGAAUCUAGAAAGAAGGGUGUUUUAUUCCUCUGAAAUAAGGUUUUUAGAUCACCUGAAGACUAUAGCCCUGAAGUGUAGACAAUUUGUUCUCAGUUCAUUUUAGAAGUCAAACCCCAAAAGAACAAUUUUGAAUUUGAGAAAGAUUUACAAUACUCUGCAUGUAUGUACUUUAUACAUUUCACCAUCAUGACAAGUGACAAAGUUAUUGUCAAGCAAACAUUAUAUCAGGAUACAAAGACACUGCCAUGCCAUUAUUAACAAAAUAUAUGUAAUAUUUGGUUUUAACUUGCCUACUAUUUUCCCUUGCUUUCUUGUAGUGAGCCUGUUUGAUUAUUGGUGUGUUUCCAGACAGCUGUCACCCCACUCUGGCAAUCUCCCUGGUUUUGAACCUGUGGUGCAAUUCACAGGUUUGCUAUUCACACCUGUAAUAUAUUGCCUAGAUAAGAACAAUUUCAUCUUAUCCCCCAUAAAGGCUGUGGGAACUCAUAUAAAGAGGACAGUACAAAUAAUCUUUAUCCAUUAUGAUUUAUUCUCUACAAUACUUCAUUAGAGGAUAGAGUUCAAUUAUUUACACUCAGAAAUUAUUAUAUAGGUAGGAGGCAACCAAGUGUAAUAUAAAGAAUUGGUCUGACGUCUCUGCACUGUAGGUCAAAAGAGGUCUCCUGCUUUAAGGAAAUAAAUUAACCAAAAAACCCCCAACAAAACAACAUGUAGUUUCUGAAUACAAACAGAAAACAGCACUAAUAGUCAGUGAAGACUGCAGAGGUUUGUUAAUGUACUAUGAAAACAAAUUAUUCUGUGCAAAGGUUAAAAUGAACUCUUAGAUUUCCUUACAGAUUUUUUUCUUGUUCUGAUAAAUUGUAGAUAUGUGAUAUUUUGACCAUGUAACAUUCCCAAACCGAAAUGGCUUCAGUUGAGAUUGACUGUUGAACAACAUGGAAAAAAAAAAUUAAGAACCUCACAGUGGAAACAUUUCAACACUGACAGACUCCAGUGAUCAAAGACAUUCUCCUGUAGUUACCGUAAAACAAAGACAUUUCAUCAUUGCAGUGAGAUUAUUUAUCACUCGUGGUUGUCAUGAGAAUAAGCCCUUCUAGACCAAAAGGCACUUGCUUCUAAGGAUGAGUUAAUCCAGAUCAAACCAGGUAACAGUUGCUUUGAGGAGUAGUUCUAACCAGCUGUCCCAGCCAAGCAAACACAGAGAAAAUCUCACAUCUAUUGGCCUGAUUUUGGUUGUCUCCAUCUUGAGGCAAUUCAAAGUACGGUUUGUGCCCAGUUCCCCUCUUUCAUCCUUAUGCAUAGCUGCCAUGUAAUGAUCUAGAAACGGGAUUAUUUCCUGAGACCACCUGUCCUUGUCAUACAUUUCUCUGAGCUGACUUAGCUACUGACACAGUUUUCAACUGAUUUUAUAGCUGGACCCUUAUGGGACUAAAGCUGAGAGGGCCUGUUCCUUAGCAGAUCAGUGUUCUGAUCUGACAGCUUCUCUUCUCACUGCAACAAGACAAGAACACAGUACAUAUUUAGAGGCAUUUAUGUUUUGUUUGUGUUUUUUUAAACCGACUGAGUGGGGAAAGAGAAGUGGGAGAGGACAAGACUUCCCCAGUCCCAAACCACCUGUCCCACUUCAGGCUUAAACCAACCAAGUUACUCAAUCCUAAAAUUCUGUUCUUUAAAAAAAUGACAACUAA